rnacentral:lncRNA from 1 species
CAGCCUUCUCUUCUAGAACUUCAAUAAAAUAGCCUAAUUUCUAACUUUGUAUACUUUUAUAACCAUUUCCCUCUUAAUUUUCUAUUUGUCGCCUACCAUUAACGACUCCUCCCAGUUUCUUGUAAAUUUGCCCCCGCCCCCCAACAACCACCCUACACCACCCCUCUCUUCUUUUCGCUCCCCAUUUUUCAAACAAGAACAGCUUCAACACAAUGCCUUUGACCUUUGAAUUCCUUCUUCACUUAUAUACCAAUUUCACAAAUUAUUAUUCUCAUUCCACCUCACAUAAAGAAAAGAGUCUGAGCUUCAUUUCUUCUCUAUACUCCUCUAUUACACAUAAUAUUCAAGUAAGUUGUUCUGAUUUACAUCUAUAGCUGAAGACCCUUUUGUAUCUUUAUUCAUAUAUAUUCUUUUUGCUGUAAAGAUUGUAUUUUUUUUUAAUAUUUUUUUUUGGUUUUUAUCUGGAAAUCCGACUACUAAUAUCUUUAUUCAUAUAUAUUCUUUUUUGCUGUAAAGAUUGUAUUUUUUUUUUUUUUUGGUUUUUUGAAGUGUCUCUUGAUAGUUGACUUUAGUUGUAGAAUACUGUAAGAUUCAAGACAUAAGAUUUUUGUGGUGUUGUUGUUGUUCUGGGGUUUGAUUAUUUUGUAGUUUGUUGUUGAGCUGCUGAGGUAAGCAUCUGGGCCUGGCUUGAAUUUGGUAGUUUUGUGGUGAUUUUGGUUGAAAUUGGAUUUGGCAAUUCACAGUCGCUUGAGUUUUUGAAAAUUUUGGAGUGAUUUUUUGCUGGAGGGGUCUGUGAUCUUGAGAUC